AAGGAAUAUUGGACAAUGGAGGCAACUCUGAUCCAGCCAUGCCGCGUGAAGGAAUAAGGCCCUAUGGGUUGUAAACUUCUUUUAGACGGGACAAAACCCCUUUACGUGUAAAGGGUUGAUGGUACUGUCAGAAUAAGCAUCGGCUAACUUCGUGCCAGCAGCCGCGGUAAUACGAAGGAUGCAAGCGUUAUCCGGAAUUAUUGGGUUUAAAGGGUGCGUAGGCGGACUAAUAAGUCAGUGGUGAAAGCCUGCAGCUUAACUGCAGAAUUGCCAUUGAUACUGUUAGUCUUGAGUACAGUUGAGGUAGGCGGAAUGUGUCAUGUAGCGGUGAAAUGCUUAGAUAUGACACAGAACACCGAUUGCGAAGGCAGCUUGCUAGGCUGUAACUGACGCUGAGGCACGAAAGCGUGGGGAGCAAACA
rnacentral:rRNA from 1 species